rnacentral:rRNA from 1 species
UGCCAGCCGCCGCGGUAAUACGGGAGUGGCAAGCGUUAUCCGGAAUUAUUGGGCGUAAAGCGUACGUAGGCGGAUUAAUAAGUUAGAGGUGAAAUCCCAGGGCUCAACCUUGGAACUGCAUUUGAUACUGAUUAACUAGAGUUUUGUAGAGGGUGGUAGAAUUUCAGGUGUAGCGGUGAAAUGCGUAGAGAUCUGAAGGAAUACCAGUGGCGAAGGCGGCCACCUGGACAAAGACUGACGCUGAGGCGCGAAGGCGUGGGGAGCAAACGGGAUUAGAUA